UCAUAUGCUUGUCUUAAAGAUUAAGCCAUGCAUGUCUAAGUAUAAGCUUUUAUACGGCUAAACUGCGAAUGGCUCAUUAAAACAGUUAUAGUUUUAUUUGAUGGUCUUUACUACAUGGAUAACCGUGGUAUUCUAUGGCUAAUACAUGCGCACAUGCCUCUUCCCCUGGAAGGGCAGUGUUUAU
rnacentral:rRNA from 1 species